rnacentral:misc_RNA from 1 species
UAUAGAGAAUACCGUUUCCACGAAAACGGUCAAAUCCAAAGCGACUGUCUGAACAUCUCUUUUUGAAAAUGGGUAUAAUUCUGCUGGGUCAGUAGUUCAGUUGGUUAGAAUGCCGCUCUGAUACAGCGGAGGUCGAAGAUUCGAGUUCUUCCUGACCCACCACUUAAAUUGAUGAGGUUGGAAUCAAAAACAAAUACUUGUUUUUGAUUCCGGAUGUUCUGAUGAAUAUCUUCGGAAUCUGCUUUUAUUAGCAAUCAUUGUAAAUCGGUUUUUAAUGUCGUAAAUCAAACUUUAUGGAAACAUGACUUUUGAUUUAUUGAACAUCGUAAUCUCAAAAAUCUUUCUAAAUAGAGUAAUCACGAAAGUGAUAAUUCAAUUAGAGAAGCAAGAAUCAACUUAAAUGCUUAAAAAACUCAUUAAGUUCUUUUGAUUGUGUUUGAAGACUUUCUCUUCAAGCAUAAGAUAAAAAGUAACAAAGGGUGUUUAGUGGAUGCCUUGGCAAUCAGAGGCGAUGAAGGACGUGAAAGACUGCGAUAAGUCCGGGUGAGGCGUCAAUAUCCUUUGACCCCGGAAUUUC